UUGUAAACCCUGAACAGUGCUGCGUAAAUCAGGGAUCAUUUCUGCAAAAACGAAACUUAAAAACAGUAUAGCGUCACGGGAAUUCCUCUCGCACACAGAGUCAAGCGAUUAUUAUAUUUAUCAUUCCCCGAGUUGGUUCGUCAUCACUAAAUUGGGAACAUAAGAACAAAGACAAAAGGCAGAAACAGAGUGGCUGAACCAGUUUGCUGUGGCGGCUCGUUCAGAGCAAACUUUUAUUUUAUCAAGAUAAAGGACCGCAGAAGAAGCUGGUAUGAAAUCCCACUGCUGCUCCGGUGGAGGCCACAGCUGCACCUGAUGCAACAAUAAACAGGUUAAAUACCAAAGAAUUAACAAGUCAAAGGUCUGAAUGAGGAACUGCACAGUCACUGAGCAACAUACCUGCGUGUGUAAUACUUCAGAAAGACAGCACAUAAUGACCCUGUGAUUAUAAUUCCAACAACGAUCAUCCCACAGUUAUAAAGACUUGCAGAACCUCAUUCUCAAGCUGGAAGAUUAAAUGAAA